AUUGAACGCUGGCGGCAGGCCUAACACAUGCACGUCGAGCGGAGCGGCGGACGGGUGAGUAAUGCCUAGGACUCUGCCUGGUAGUGGGGGAUAACGUCCGGAAACGGGCGCUAAUACCGCAUACUAUCAGAUGAGCCUAGGUCGGAUUAGCUAGUUGGGGGGGUAACGGCCUACCAAGGCGACGAUCCGUAACUGGUCUGCGAGGAUGAUCAGUCACACUGGAACUGAGACACGGGCCAGAAUCCGACGGGAGGCAGCAGGGGGGAAGAGUGGACAAUGGGCGAAAGCCUGAUCCAGCCAUGCCGCGUGUGGGAAGAAGGUCUUCGGAUUGUAAAGCACUUUAAGUUGGGAGGCGUUACCAACAGAAUAAGCACCGGCUAACUUCGUGCCAGCAGCCGCGGUAAUAC
rnacentral:rRNA from 1 species